AACCUCCGCAAUGUGAGAAAUCGCGACGGGGGGAUCCCAAGUGCCAUUCUUAACGGGAUGGCUUUUCAUUAGUGUAAAGAGCUUUUGGAAUAAGGGCUGGGCAAGACCGGUGCCAGCCGCCGCGGUAACACCGGCAGCUCUAGUGGUAGCAGUUUUUAUUGGGCCUAAAGCGUCCGUAGCCGGUUUAAUAAGUCUCUGGUGAAAUCCUGUAGCUUAACUGUGGGAAUUGCUGGAGAUACUAUUAGACUUGAGACCGGGAGAGGUUAGAGGUACUCCCAGGGUAGAGGUGAAAUUCUGUAAUCCUGGGAGGACCGCCUGUUGCGAAGGCGUCUAACUGGAACGGUUCUGACGGUGAGGGACGAAAGUUAGGGGCGCGAACCGGAUUAGAUACCCGGGUAGUCCUAACUGUAACGAUGCGGACUUGGUGUUGGGGUGGCUUUGAGCUGCUCCAGUGCCGAAGGGAAGCUGUUAAGUCCGCCGCCUGGGAAGUACGGUCGCAAGACUGAAACUUAAAGGAAGU
rnacentral:rRNA from 1 species